rnacentral:tRNA from 1 species
GUUAAUGUAGCAUAACCUGGUAUUGCAAAAGAUCUAAGCCCUUUUUAUAGAGAUUCAAAUCCUCUCAUUAACU